AAGGAAGACUCAAGACUGGAAGGGUUGCUGAGGUCACCCUGCCAGGAAUAACUGGGCUGGAGGAAGCUCAGGGCACUCAACUGGCCAAUUCUGGAAAUCUGUCUUUGCUGAUAGGCAGUGGAUCUGUCAGAUGAAGCCUUUUGGAGUCUUGAAAAACUUGACUGCCAGCCUCCAUGAUUAAAAACAGAUUGUCCUCAUCCUGAGUCCCAAGCCUCUUGUACUGUGAGUACUACAGAAGCACAGCACAGACAUGGAAGAAAUCUAAGGGCCUGAUUCUCCUUU